rnacentral:rRNA from 1 species
UACGUAGGGUGCUAGCGUUGUCCGGAUUUAUUGGGCGUAAAGGGAGCGUAGGCGGGUUAUCAAGUUGGAGGUGAAAGCCCAGGGCUCAACCUUGGAAUUGCCUUCAAAACUGAUAGCCUAGAGUAUGAUAGAGGUAAGUGGAACUCCGAGUGUAGAGGUGAAAUUCGUAGAUAUUCGGAAGAACACCAGUGGCGAAGGCGGCGACCUGGUCCUUGACUGACGCUGAGGCGCGAAAGCGUGGGGAGCAAACAGG